AUCCCAUGAUGAGGAUAGGCAGCCACAUACUCAUGUAGUCGUUCCCACGCCUCGGGAAUAGACUCGUCUCUCGUCUGCUGGAAGCUUCAAAUUAAUCCGCCUAGGGU
rnacentral:snoRNA from 1 species